rnacentral:rRNA from 1 species
ACCCGCUGAACUUAAGCAUAUCAAUAAGCGGAGGAAAAGAAACCAACAGGGAUUGCCCUAGUAACGGCGAGUGAAGCGGCAACAGCUCAAAUUUGAAAUCUGGCGUCUUCGGCGUCCGAGUUGUAAUUUGCAGAGGGCGCUUUGGCAUCGGCAGCGGUCCAAGUUCCUUGGAACAGGACGUCACAGAGGGUGAGAAUCCCGUACGUGGUCGCUAGCCUUUACCGUGUAAAGCCCCUUCGACGAGUCGAGUUGUUUGGGAAUGCAGCUCUAAAUGGGAGGUAAAUUUCUUCUAAAGCUAAAUACUGGCCAGAGACCGAUAGCGCACAAGUAGAGUGAUCGAAAGAUGAAAAGCACUUUGGAAAGAGAGUUAAAAAGCACGUGAAAUUGUUGAAAGGGAAGCGCUUGCAGCCAGACUUGCCUGUAGUUGCUCAUCCGGGUUUCUACCCGGUGCACUCUUCUAUAGGCAGGCCAGCAUCAGUUUGGGCGGUUGGAUAAAGGUCUCUGUCAUGUACCUCUCUUCGGGGAGAACUUAUAGGGGAGACGACAUGCAACCAGCCUGGACUGAGGUCCGCGCAUCUGCUAGGAUGCUGGCGUAAUAGCUGU